UGGGGUUACUUAUUCAAUGAACUGUAAGGCCAAAAUUAUCCUUCCAUAAGUCAUUUAAUAUUAUGAUCAGCAUAUUCUAGUUUUAAUGUUGUUAAUUCUUGUAGGAAAAGUCAGCUUGUUAGUUUUAUUUAAUUAAUUUAUUAUUAUUUUUGUUAAUAUGUUUUUUUAUUUUUUUUACAGUAAGAAAACUUAACACAAACCUAGAAAUUUGCACGAGAUUGAUAUAUAUAAACAUACACAAAUAAAAUUAAGUUACAGUUAAGUUAUUAACUUGAUUAUAAAGUAAGAUUUUUUUUUUUUUUUAUUUGUUUCUUGUAGGAAUAAAAAGAAGUUUUCUUUUGUGGUUAUUUUUAUUAGUAUUAUUAGAUUACAUUUAUUACCUUUCAUAUAUUCUGCAUGAUCAAUAAGAGCUUAUUCNGCCUAAAAAUUUGC